GCCAGCAGCUCCAGGUACGCGGCUUCAUGAGCAGCCCUGGGCUGCCUUUCCCAGCACUCUCCGGCUUGCUCAGUGCACCACCUGCACAACCACAGAGGGCAGCCCUGCAGCCCCCCCGGGAGUCUCCUUAUAUCUGAACCCUACAUUGAGAAUCUGGGUCACUCUUGCUUGGGCCUGGCUGCUUCCUAGAACUUUCCUCCUCAAAGUGAGGUCGGGGACCAGCAGCACUGGCAUCCCAUGGGAGCUCGGUGGAAACACAAUCUCAGGCCCCAUCCCAGACCUCCUGAAUCAGGAUCUGCAUUUCAACAAGAUCCUCAGUCCAGUGCCCAGCACCCUCCUCAAGACCUGUCACCAGGGCCCCUCCACGUAGUACCAGCACACCGGGGACCUCGGAUAUCUGUUCCAGGCCUGAGACGGGGUUGCUGGUAGGAGCUGCAGCUUUGUGGAAGCCUGAAGGUGCCGGAACUCAAUAAAGAUCACUUCAACCAAACACCUCCCCCUGUCCACCUUCUCCAGACCCAAGACUGCCCUCUCAGAAGCCGGCAGGCUUACAAUAACCCCAAACCCCAGGUGGAUACGCUGGGGGUAAAAUGCAUUUGGACUCACUCUGGGGGGCAGUUACAGAGAAGACAGCAUCUGGGACUAGCUGUGUAGCCUUGGGCAAGUCACUUAACCUCUCCGGGCCCAUUUCUCCAGCUAUAAUAUGAGGACAAGUACACCCUUCUUACAGGUGAAAGACUUCUAAGAGGAUCGAAGGAGGCUGUAUGAGGGAAGGGGCCCACAUCCUUUUUUCCCUUCCCCUUCCUCUCAACCCAAGUUUCAACCACUCCAUUUAGUUUCCCGUGCAGCCUCCUGUCCCAGCACUCAGGCAGCUCCAUAUCCACCUGCAGAGAUGACCCCUGACUAGGGAGGGGCUGCCUAAAGGUGAUGCCCACAGGUGAUAGUCCUUCCAGCCUUGCCGUGUGCGGGCUGUAGGCUGAGCCCCGCACAUGCAUCAUCUCAUGUCACCUGCACAGUGGCAACCCUGCAUCAGCACCACACCCAUUUAAUCAGAGACAGGAAGUUUCCUAUGGACUCACAGAUAUAAGUUGUGAGACCAAGAUUCAAACUAUUAACCUAACAACUGUGGGAAGUGACUUCCGAGACGAAGCUGGCUGCCUCUACCCCGGGUCUUAGGUGAUGAUAAAAACCCAAUAGAAUGUAUACUAUAAAAUGAAAAUGCACAAAAGUAAUCCAUGGGGUUAGAAGUCAGGACAGUGCUUACUUUCUGGAGGG